rnacentral:rRNA from 1 species
GACGAACGCUGGCGGCGUGCUUAACACAUGCAAGUCGAGCGAGACCCCGCUUUCGGGUGGGUGUUCUAGCGGCGAACGGGUGAGUAACACGUGGGCAACCUGCCCUCAGCUCUGGGAUAACUCCAAGAAAUUGGGGCUAAUACCGGAUAUGACCGCUGAACGCAUGGUCUGGUGGUGGAAAGAUUUAUCGGCUGGGGAUGGGCCCGCGGGCUAUCAGCUUGUUGGUGGGGUAGUGGCCUACCAAGGCGACGACGGGUAGCCGGCCUGAGAGGGUGACCGGCCACACUGGGACUGAGACACGGCCCAGACUCCUACGGGAGGCAGCAGUGGGGAAUAUUGCGCAAUGGGCGAAAGCCUGACGCAGCGACGCCGCGUGGGGGAUGACGGCCUUCGGGUUGUAAACCUCUUUCAGCAGGGACGAAGCGAAAGUGACGGUACCUGCAGAAGAAGCACCGGCCAACUACGUGCCAGCCGCCGCCGUAA